rnacentral:rRNA from 1 species
GACCGGCGCACGGGUGAGUAACACGUAUCCAACCUGCCGAUAACUCGGGGAUAGCCUUUCGAAAGAAAGAUUAAUACCCGAUGGCAUAAUAGAACCGCAUGGUUUGAUUAUUAAAGAAUUUCGGUUAUCGAUGGGGGUGCGUUCCAUUAGGCAGUUGGUGGGGUAACGGCCCACCAAACCUUCGAUGGAUAGGGGUUCUGAGAGGAAGGUCCCCCACAUUGGAACUGAGACACGGUCCAAACUCCUACGGGAGGCAGCAUG